rnacentral:rRNA from 1 species
GACGCGGUACGGGGGGAGCUGGCUUGGGAUCGGGGGUGAGCUUGAAGGGAAAGGGAAACCAGUGUUGAACCUCAAGCGGACUAGAGUACCAGCGGUACGGCAGCAGCAUCGGCGCUGGUAGCACGCGGAGAAGCGGCCCCCUCUGCAGGUCGUCUUGGCAGUAGCAGGUGAAGAAGUAGAGGUGGGUGCUCUAGCUCGGGCCUCGGUGGCGUAGCUGGCCUGCUCCAGAAGAAGUUCGAGACGGGGCGGCGAGCAGUAGAAGCUAAAGCUGGAGUAACUUCGGAGGGGCUCGGGCGACUGAAAGAGAUGUCGACGCUAUGUAGCUCUGUCUGCGGCGACGAUGGGUCAUGCUGAUGCCACAACUGCUGGGGAGAGAGAACGGUCUCGUUGGUC